rnacentral:misc_RNA from 1 species
GCAUUUCAGACACAGAAGAAUCACUUUGGUCAUGGGUUGAAGAUUAGGCACUACUGGUGCUUGAUGGGUUUUUUAAAUCAAUAAGGGUGGAUCAAGGGACUAACCCUUUUUUUUUUUUUUUUUUUUUCCCUUUUCCGUACUUCAUUUUUUUGAAAUGGCUCAACUGAGCCAACUUUUCUUUUUAACCCAAUUCUAGCCCCUGUUUUUAGUGUUGGGUUUUGUAUAUCUUUCUUGUAUAAAGGCAAUUGAUUAGUAUUCAUCUUCAAUGAAUCAUA